rnacentral:lncRNA from 1 species
AUGAUGUAAUGUAGCAGUAAAUGCUGUGUUAUAUAUGAGUAGAAAAAGAUGUCACUAUUUUAUAGUUACAAGGUCCUAGUAUAGCAAGACCUAAAAAUCAAGACAUUGGUUCUUGUGGUAGAGAGAGAGAGAGAGAGAGAGAGAGAGAGAGAGAGAGAGAGAGAGAGAGAGAGUUCAGUUACAUGAAUGACUUUAAGUUUUUGAAGCAUCACUCACAGCUAUCUGUCACCUUAAUGUAAACUUUCAGAAUGAAACCAACCUAAGUUAUAGAUUCA